UGGGCUUGACAUGUCCGGAAUCAAGCAGAGAUGCGGGAGUACCAUUCGGGGAAUCGGAACAC
rnacentral:rRNA from 1 species